rnacentral:rRNA from 1 species
AGAGCGAACGCUGGCGGCAGGCCUAAUACAUGCAAGUCGAACGGAUCCUUCGGGAUUAGUGGCGGACGGGUGAGUAACACGUGGGAACGUGCCCUUUGGUUCAGAACAACUCAGGGAAACUUGAGCUAAUACUGGAUAAGCCCUUCGGGGGAAAGAUUUAUCGCCAUUGGAGCGGCCCGCGUCUGAUUAGCUAGUUGGUGGGGUAAAGGCCCACCAAGGCUUCGAUCAGUAGCUGGUCUGAGAGGAUGAUCAGCCACACUGGGACUGAGACACGGCCCAGACUCCUACGGGAGGCAGCAGUAGGGAAUCUUGCGCAAUGGGCGAAAGCCUGACGCAGCCAUGCCGCGUGAAUGAUGAAGGUCUUAGGAUUGUAAAAUUCUUUCAGCGGGACGAUAAUGACGGUACCCGCAGAAGAGCCCGGCUAACUUCGCGCCAGCAGCCGC